rnacentral:lncRNA from 1 species
GGCCUACAUCUUUUGAGAAAGAAUUGUUACUUUUGAAAUUCAUAUGAAGGAGUUAUAGGGAGUUGAAGGUAGUACUUCCAAAUCAAAGGGAGUAAGUGAACGGUUAUGUUUAUAGUAAUGGUUGUGGCCAUAACUUGAGAUUUUGGACAAAUUUUUGUCUCAAAUUUUUUGAAAAAUGUAAUGUUUUGUAUUAAAAAGCUAUACAUACAAAUUUUGUGGUAUUUGAGCUUAUAUU